UUGUGUAGAGGUCGCAAUUAAAAUAAGUAUAAUUCAUGAUAACUUGAAUUAAAUGAUUGAAUUAGAAAGGGUUAAUUGCCGAAGGAAUUAAUAUUUCAAGAUGUUAAUAUCCUGGGUAUAUAGUUAAUAACUAUAUAACUGUCAUCGUAAGAUGGAGAGCUACA
rnacentral:ncRNA from 1 species